rnacentral:rRNA from 1 species
UACGGAGGGGGCAAGCGUUGUUCGGAAUUACUGGGCGUAAAGGGCGCGUAGGCGGCCAGUCACGUCAGAUGUGAAAGCCCCGGGCUCAACCUGGGAACUGCAUUUGAUACGGGCUGGCUUGGAUCCGAGAGAGGAGUGUGGAAUUCCCAGUGUAGAGGUGGAAUUCGUAGAUAUUGGGAAGAACACCAGUGGCGAAGGCGACACUCUGGCUCGGUAUCGACGCUGAGGCGCGAAAGCGUGGGGAGCAAACAGG